AUUGAACGCUGGCGGCAUGCCUUACACAUGCAAGUCGAACGGUAACAGGUUAAGCUGACGAGUGGCGAACGGGUGAGUAAUGUAUCGGAACGUGCCCAGUCGUGGGGGAUAACUGCUCGAAAGAGCAGCUAAUACCGCAUACGACCUGAGGGUGAAAGCGGGGGAUCGCAAGACCUCGCGCGAUUGGAGCGGCCGAUAUCAGAUUAGGUAGUUGGUGGGGUAAAGGCCUACCAAGCCUACGAUCUGUAGCUGGUCUGAGAGGACGACCAGCCACACUGGGACUGAGACACGGCCCAGACUCCUACGGGAGGCAGCAGUGGGGAAUUUUGGACAAUGGACGCAAGUCUGAUCCAGCCAUGCCGCGU
rnacentral:rRNA from 1 species